rnacentral:rRNA from 1 species
AUAACUACUGGAAACGGUAGCUAAUACCGCAUAACGUCGCAAGACCAAAGAGGGGGACCUUCGGGCCUCUUGCCAUCGGAUGUGCCCAGAUGGGAUUAGCUAGUAGGUGGGGUAACGGCUCACCUAGGCGACGAUCCCUAGCUGGUCUGAGAGGAUGACCAGCCACACUGGAACUGAGACACGGUCCAGACUCCUACGGGAGGCAGCAGUGGGGAAUAUUGCACAAUGGGCGCAAGCCUGAUGCAGCCAUGCCGCGUGUAUGAAGAAGGCCUUCGGGUUGUAAAGUACUUUCAGCGGGGAGGAAGGCGAUAAGGUUAAUAACCUUGUCUAUUGACGUUACCCGCAUAAGAAUCACCGGCUAACUCCGUGCCAGCAUCCGCGGUAAUACGGAUGGUGCAAUCG